UCCGAUCGCAACGUCUGCGUUGGUUCUCGGGUGUCGGAUCGUCAAAAGGAGCUUCUGCUGGCUUUUGUGAAAGAGCACCCACAGAUCGCGACGCUGUCGUGCCCGCUGGAGCUGUCGUUCACGAGGGAGGACCGGGACGACAUGUGGCAGGAGCUAGUAGCGCUUUUGAACGAAGAAGUCCCUGUGCGUAACACCAGGGCCCAGUGGCAGGCCCGGUGGAGGAAUGAGCGCUACUAUUCGCAGCAGGGUCUUGCCAAACUCCGAGGGCAGCAGAGGUGAGUGCGAGAACAAUUGUAUUGUGGUCGGUCAUCUUACACGUCCCGCUUGUGCUUUACAGCGGCACCCGAGGCGGCCAGAUUUCGGAUUACCGCGGCCGCGUCGUGUUUGACAGGGACGAGUGUGCGAGGCCCAUAGUUCGGGUGGUCUGAAUCGGUGAGCCCUGCUCCAGCUGCUACUGGUGUGGCUGAAGAGGAUGUGGCCCAGGAUCUUCCCCGUGCCCCAACUCCUCAUGCCGCAGCUGCGAGAUGGGGGCAACCGGCAGGCCGAGGCGCUGGAGUUACUAGCCGCAAACACCAGGCGGCAGGGCCAGGCAUCAUUGGAAAGCUGCGCCA